rnacentral:misc_RNA from 1 species
AGUCGUAACAAGGUUUCCGUAGGUGAACCUGCGGAAGGAUCAUUACGUAUGGUAGGCCGGUCUGACCGGUUCUAUUCAACCCUGUUUUUGCGCACCCUUUGUUUCCUCGGCAGGCUUGCCUGCCAGUAGGACCUUUUCAACCCUUCGUGUCAAAGCAAUCAGCGUCAAACAAACAAAACAAUGGUAACAA